rnacentral:lncRNA from 1 species
AUCAAAUAUCUGACAACAGGAAUGAUUCAGUCAAAAAAUAAAUGAAUAAAUAAACAUUUUAAUGUUGAGGAGAAUAAAAAACCUAUUCUUAAUAAUUUAUAUCUAAUAAUGACUGACUAUUUUAUACCGCAGUUUUUCCUCCAGCGUUAGGAUCUUUAAACAGCGGCAGCAGGCCCACACCCACACCGGCCCGGAGCCCUCCUCCCCCGGCCGCGCUGCGCUCUGCAGCCCCGGGAGAGUGGAGGGCUGACGGACCUGAAGAUAGAAGACCCUUAUUUCCGCGUAACCAAUAGAAACCUCACGCUUUUACUGGAAACCAUUAAAAGAUUACCUGAAACAAUGGAGAAAUGGAAGUGAUGCCCUGAUGCAAGCCACCUCCUGAUGCUAGUGUUAAACUUCACAAACUUCUCAACGUUUUA